GCAGCUUGCUGCUUUGCUGACGAGUGGCGGACGGGUGAGUAAUGUCUGGGAAACUGCCUGAUGGAGGGGGAUAACUACUGGAAACGGUAGCUAAUACCGCAUAACGUCGCAAGACCAAAGAGGGGGACCUUCGGGCCUCUUGCCAUCGGAUGUGCCCAGAUGGGAUUAGCUUGUUGGUGGGGUAACGGCUCACCAAGGCGACGAUCCCUAGCUGGUCUGAGAGGAUGACCAGCCACACUGGAACUGAGACACGGUCCAGACUCCUACGGGAGGCAGCAGUGGGGAAUAUUGCACAAUGGGCGCAAGCCUGAUGCAGCCAUGCCGCGUGUAUGAAGAAGGCCUUCGGGUUGUAAAGUACUUUCAGCGGGGAGGAAGGGAGUAAAGUUAAUACCUUUGCUCAUUGACGUUACCCGCAGAAGAAGCACCGGCUAACUCCGUGCCAGCAGCCGCGGUAAUACGGAGGGUGCAAGCGUUAAUCGGAAUUACUGGGCGUAAAGCGCACGCAGGCGGUUUGUUAAGUCAGAUGUGAAAUCCCCGGGCUCAACCUGGGAACUGCAUCUGAUACUGGCAAGCUUGAGUCUCGUAGAGGGGGGUAGAAUUCCCAGGUGUAGCGGUGAAAUGCGUAGAGAUCUGGAGGAAUACCGGUGGCGAAGGCGGCCCCCUGGACGAAGACUGACGCUCAGGUGCGAAAGCGUGGGGAGCAAACAGGGAUUAGAUACCC
rnacentral:rRNA from 1 species